rnacentral:lncRNA from 1 species
GACGUUAAAAAUUUGGACAAAAUUUUCUAUUGCCUAUUGCCCAAAAAAUCCAAUAGCAUUUGCAGCAAUACCUCCUACUGUUAAUGCAGAUCAAAGCUAGAGUAAUUCAGACUGCAAAAUCUGCUGGUUAUUUUCCAAAGACAACAUGUAUAGUUCUUGGUUCUUCUGGCAAAUACCAAAUAGAGAUCUUACCCUUCCAUCAUAUGAUAAUGAUGCAAAUAUCCAUGGCUCUCGACAGCUCCAAG